rnacentral:rRNA from 1 species
AUACGGAGGGUCCAAGCGUUAUUCGGAAUCACUGGGCGUAAAGGACGCGUAGGCGGGUUGGCAAGUCAGAUGUGAAAUCCUACAGCUUAACUGUAGAACUGCAUUUGAAACUGCUAACCUAGAGUAUGAGAGGGGGAGAUGGAAUUAGUGGUGUAGGGGUAAAAUCCGUAGAUAUCACUAGGAAUACCGAAAGCGAAGGCGAUCUCCUGGAACAUAACUGACGCUAAGGCGUGAAAGCGUGGGGAGCAAACAGGAUUAGAUACCCUAGUAGUCC